rnacentral:rRNA from 1 species
CACGUAGGGUGCGAGCGUUGUCCGGAAUUAUUGGGCGUAAAGAGCUCGUAGGCGGUGUGUCGCGUCGGCCGUGAAAACCUGCAGCUUAACUGUGGGCUUGCGGUCGAUACGGGCAUCACUGGAGUUCGGCAGGGGAGAAUGGAAUUCCUGGUGUAGCGGUGGAAUGCGCAGAUAUCAGGAGGAACACCAGUGGCGAAGGCGGUUCUCUGGGCCUUACCUGACGCUGAGGAGCGAAAGCGUGGGGAGCAAACAGG